rnacentral:rRNA from 1 species
GAAACCCGGUGAUCUAGCCAUGGGCAGGUUGAAGGUUGGGUAACACUAACUGGAGGACCGAACCGACUAAUGUUGAAAAAUUAGCGGAUGACUUGUGGCUGGGGGUGAAAGGCCAAUCAAACCGGGAGAUAGCUGGUUCUCCCCGAAAGCUAUUUAGGUAGCGCCUCGUGAAUUCAUCUCCGGGGGUAGAGCACUGUUUCGGCAAGGGGGUCAUCCCGACUUACCAACCCGAUGCAAACUGCGAAUACCGGAGAAUGUUAUCACGGGAGACACACGGCGGGUGCUAACGUCCGUCGUGAAGAGGGAAACAACCCAGACCGCCAGCUAAGGUCCCAAAGUCAUGGUUAAGUGGGAAACGAUGUGGGAAGGCCCAGACAGCCAGGAUGUUGGCUUAGAAGCAGCCAUCAUUUAAAGAAAGCGUAAUAGCUCACUGGUCGAGUCGGCCUGCGCGGAAGAUGUAACGGGGCUAAACCAUGCACCGAAGCUGCGGCAGCGACACUAUGUGUUGUUGGGUAGGGGAGCGUUCUGUAAGCCUGUGAAGGUGGCCUGUGAGGG